rnacentral:rRNA from 1 species
CCGGGGGGGUUGGGGAAGCUGGCUCUUUGCCGACGAGCGGCGGACGGGUGCGUAACACGUAGGAAUCUGCCUGGUAGUGGGGGAUAGCCCGGAGAAAUCCGGAUUAAUACCGCAUACGCCCUACGGGGGAAAGCAGGGGAUCUUCGGACCUUGCGCUAUCAGAUGAGCCUGCGUCGGAUUAGCUGGUUGGUGGGGUAAAGGCCUACCAAGGCGACGAUCCGUAGCUGGUCUGAGAGGAUGAUCAGCCACACUGGGACUGAGACACGGCCCAGACUCCUACGGGAGGCAGCAGUGGGGAAUAUUGCACAAUGGGCGAAAGCCUGAUGCAGCCAUGCCGCGUGUGUGAAGAAGGCCCUAGGGUUGUAAAGCACUUUCAGUGGGGAGGAAAGGUUGCUGGUUAAUACCCAGCAGCUGUGACGUUACCCACAGAAGAAGCACCGGCUAACUCCGUGCCAGCAGCCGCGGUAAUACGGAGGGUGCGAGCGUUAAUCGGAAUUACUGGGCGUAAAGCGUGCGUAGGCGGCUACCUAAGUUGGAUGUGAAAGCCCCGGGCUCAACCUGGGAACUGCAUCCAAAACUGGGUGGCUAGAGUACGGGAGAGGAGUGUGGAAUUUCCUGUGUAGCGGUGAAAUGCGUAGAUAUAGGAAGGA